UAAGAACUUGAGGAAAUCUAGAUUGACCUUAUUUAGGGCUUUUUGCAAAGCAGAAAGGGCUAGGUAGAAGGGUAAGUAAUGUGGUUCAGGGAUUGUGAGACAAACAAUUUG